UCUAGCAAAAGAAAACAAAUUCAUUCAAGCCUAUCAAAAGAAAAAAAAAGAAAACAAAAUUACAACGGUCCUGAUAUUAGAACAUAGUUUGUGGUAGCUUAAUUGGAACAUGUGAAAACGGAGGGAGGGCAAAAUUGGAAAACAAAACCGAUUUUGCUCUAGUCUUUGUUUAUUACAUAAAUCCAAAUGAAGGAAUUACUUGUAUAUCUGUCACCAUUGGAAAUUUACUAUUCUAAAUCUCAUCCAGCAAUUUUACUGUCUUUUUUAAUGUAUUCGAAUAUUUCGGUAUGAUUUGCCAUGGAACUUCUACCAUAUUGGGGAAUUUUUUUUUUUUUUUUUGGAGGUUUGCCUUGUGAUUUAGGAAGAUGCUGUCUUUAAGUACUUGGUUUGAAAUCGCUCGGCUAUUAAUUUUUGUGGGGAUAGUUCGAAGGGGACACAUUUUUUACUUACUUUAAAUGGUUCUCACUAAAUGGUCAAUCAAUAGAAUCAGCUCUUUAGGAUUUAAUUGAGGUUCGUGUAAAUUGACCAAGGGCCCCUAUGUUAUGAAUACAAAUAAAUACAAAAUUUCUCUUGCAUUUGCGUUCCACAUCCGUGAUCUUUUUUAAGAUUUUGAUUAUAAUUUUUUAUUUUUUAGAUUAUUCUCGUCGAGACGAACUAAUAAUCAACAAAAAAAUUGACGCAAAAUUAAUAAACGUAAAAAAAAUUGAAUGUGAACAAAAAAAUAAUCUGGCUCAAACUAUUAGCCAAAACAGCCCUUUCGACCAAACAACCAAAUGUUUUUAUGUUUAUUUCCAUUUUGUAGUUCGGACAUAGUAUUAACUGUAUUUGGAUCUUGAAUUUAUAGAGUGCCAAAAAAAAAGACCAAAUUUGAUAACCAUUAUCUGAAAUAUAUAUUUUCUCCUCUCUUUUCAAAAAAAAAAAGUAACUAAUUUUUUGAUUUAAAAAAUGACAAGAGAUAGAGUAUGAGACUCUUAAUAUGGAAUGGAAGGAGUACCUUUCCUAUAUGGCCCUCAAAUCUAAGUUCCGAACAUUAUUGACAAAUAAAAAAUGGGUAGUGAUAAUGCCAAAAUUAUUUUUGUUGGUAUCAAAAUUCUAGCGCAUAAAAAUAUUGUAAAUUGCAUAUGGUACAAGCCUUUUGUGCACUAGAAUUUUGGUAGCAACAAAAACAGUUUUGGAAUUAUCAUUUUCCAAGGGUAAUGCUAUAGCCAUAUAGGAAUUACUAAGGCUCAGUUUGGAUGACAUGAAUCUUGAGAAGGAAUGAGAAUGUGACACCAUACUUCCAUAAUUUCUACAUUUAGAAGGAACAGAAAUAGGAAUGUGACGUCACACUUUCAGGAUUCCCAUAUUUGGGAGAGACAGGAAUAGGAUUGUGAUUCCUGACGACACAUCCAAACAUGAAUCACAUUACCCGAUUGAGUGGGAAUCUGAUCCCUCCCUUACCCCAUGGGAAUCUUAGAUUUCUAGCUCAAUCAAAUAAAAAAGAAAAUAUUUACUUUGAUAAAUUUCUAAAAUAAUUGAUUACUGUAUAAGAUUACUGAAUUAAUUAAAACACUGAAAUAAAAUUACUUCCGGUAUUGUAUUCCUAGGAAUUUCAUUCCUGGUAAUCAUAUUCAUAUUCCCACUCAAUAAAAUUUCUAAGAAUUUGAUUCCUAGUAAUCACAUUUUUAUUCCUACUAAAGAUUUCGGUCAUCCAAACUGAGCCUAACGGUAAUGCUACAUGUACAUAUUAGGAGUGUACUUAAUUUUGUUGCUAAAUCAACGAGGGCCCAAGAUCACAUACCAAAAGGAGUGCCUUAAUGUUUGUCAUGCUAAGCCCGGCGCCGCCUUUAGAAGUCUCUCUAUUAGCCAUAAGAACAUCAAGAAAAUCAGGGUUCCCUCGACGCUCGUGAGCCGUCUCGGCGUGCUCCUUCACCAUCCUCGUUAUCAAACUGUCCCACUUGCUAUGCAUCUGUUUCAUCCCGCCCUCGAUCCCUUGCAAGUCCAUCCACGCCAGCGCCGGUAUAAAGUCGCCAACGUUGAACAGACCGGCCGAGGUCAUCAGCUCCACCACCAUGUCCUUGAACUCGUUGCUCUCCGAACCAGCCUGGACGAAUACCCUCCGCCCGAGUAUCACCUGGCCGAUUAUGUUCGCCAUCGCGAACGUCAGCAUCUCCGCCACCACCACCGCCUCGCCCCUCUGGCCCGACUCGCACAUGGCCCGAAUCAUGUGCCCCGUCUCCGUAUGCCGGAUGCCAACCGAGUCGUCAAGCGCCUUCCCGCCCAGCAUGUGCAGGUUGCUCAACUUGCGCAACGACUUCCACUUCGGGCCGUAGUCGGCAAAAACCAUGUCUUGGCUGUUGUAUGCCAAGUGGGUCGCGCCGGCGUUAGGUGGCCGGUUUGAGAAGUUCAAGUCCAGGGUUUUCAGGAAGGCUCGGGCCGACUCAGGCGUCGCGGCCACCACCAUGUCAAGGGUGCCCAUUUUUAGGUAGAUGAUGGGUCCAUAUUUCUUGGCCAUUUGGGCUAGGGCAACAUGGGGCAUGGUUCCAAGAAGGGGGAGGGCGCCGAUGACCGGCCACCCUUUCGGACCGGGCGGGAGUUUACGGGCGGGUUUGAGGAGGAGGGAACGGAGGAACAGCCUAGUGAGGAAAAAGAUUACAGUUGCUGCUGCAAUCUCUCUAAACAACACAGUGUCUACGGCCAUUUUGUGAGUGGUUUUGCCUUAGGUGUGCU